AACGAACGCUGGCGGCAGGCCUAACACAUGCAAGUCGAACGGGUCCUUCGGGACUAGUGGCGGACGGGUGAGUAACGCGUGGGAACAUGCCCUUUGGUUCGGAAUAGCCCUGGGAAACUGGGAGUAAUACCGGAUGAGCCCUACGGGGGAAAGAUUUAUCGCCAAAGGAUCGGCCCGCGUUGGAUUAGGUAGUUGGUGGGGUAAUGGCCUACCAAGCCGACGAUCCAUAGCUGGUUUGAGAGGAUGAUCAGCCACACUGGGACUGAGACACGGCCCAGACUCCUACGGGAGGCAGCAGUGGGGAAUCUUAGACAAUGGGGGAAACCCUGAUCUAGCCAUGCCGCGUGAUCGAUGAAGGCCUUAGGGUUGUAAAGAUCUUUCAGUGGGGAAGAUAAUGACGGUACCCACAGAAGAAGCCCCGGCUAACUCCGUGCCAGCAGCCGCAGUAAUAC
rnacentral:rRNA from 1 species